CACAGUUACAGAUUAAAAGAAAGAGUUGCCCUCCCAGAGACAAGUUAGACUACCCUCUGAAGAGUGCUGUCAAACCAAUACUGUGCCAGGCCACAGGAGAGACAUCCUGGUGAAUGCUGGAACUUGGGAAGUGAAGGCAUGAGAAUUUGAACAGAAGAGACACCCUACUACCUGUACUUCCUACACAAGACCCAGUGACCACAGGCUCCCAACAAAUGAGCCAGGUCUCUGCUUAUUCUUCAACACGCAUAUCACAUCACCCUAGCAAGAAAUGGAUUUCCUCUGCAUUAUUGUUUAUCUGGAGAGAAUAACAGUUCACAAAGUCCA